AUGCUUCAAGUCUUGAGAAACAUGCUGCCUAGGUUUUCACGCCUUGUAUCUCAGUUGCUCAGAUGGAGCAUAAAUGCGGUCAGCAAAUGUGUUAUCAGCAACAUAAUAGAGGCAUGGGAGUUGACUACAUACGUUGUGGCUAAGAUGGAUAGAAGAGAGAUGAAGUUCGAGGUGCACUGUGAGGUGAAGGAAGAUUCUUUGUACAGGAUCAGUUGUUCUUGCCGUAAGCUGGAAUGCUUGGGCACACCUUGCUCUCACAUAUUUUACAUCUUGGGAAUACGUCAAGUGGAACUGCCGCCCAGGUGUUGUGUUCCCAUGAGGUGA
rnacentral:rRNA from 1 species